rnacentral:rRNA from 1 species
CCUACGGGAGGCAGCAGUGGGGGAUAUUGCACAAUGGGGGGAACCCUGAUGCAGCGACGCCGCGUGGGUGAAGGAGCGUUUCGGCGCGUAAAGCCCUAUCCGCAGGGAAGAAGAUGACGGUACCUGGCCAAGAAGCCCCGGCUAACUACGUGCCAGCAGCCUCGGUAAUACGUAGGGGGCAAGCGUUAUCCGGAUGUACGGGGGGUAAAGGGGGCGCCGACGGCCAUGCAAGCCAGGAGUGAAAUCCCGGGGCCCAACCCCGGGACUGCUCUUGGAACUGCAUGGCUGGAGUACAGGAGGGGCAGGCGGAAUUCCUAGUGUAGCGGUGAAAUGCGUAGAUAUUAGGAGGAACACCGGUGGCGAAGGCGGCCUGCUGGACUGUGACUGACGUUGAGGCCCGAAGGCGUGGGGAGCAAACAGGAUUAGAUACCCGUGUAGUC